rnacentral:misc_RNA from 1 species
UACAAUCCAUAUAUGUAACUCUUCCAUGCCUAAAUGGGGCAACAAAAAUGCCAAGCUCUACAUAAUAUUUCUUGAUAAAUUACAAACAAUUAUUUCUCCUCAGGAAUGUUCAACUCACAACCAACUUCACCCUUGCAUUGCCUUUAGAAAUCUGAAAUUGUUCAGUAAUACCCAGAUGAGCCAUCAAUAGCCAGACAUGAGUGAGCAGCUCCCCUCCUCCUGUGAGUUGCUUGGCAUGUUUGUUUGAUCCACACUGAUUUGCAGCAUAAGAAAGCAUCUCUAUCCACACGCGAUUUAUCAUCUCCCACUUCUUCUCACUUGUCCAUUGCUCUUCCGUCUCCAAGGAUUGUAAGGACUUGGCAAUCCUACAGCGUACUUGCGUCGAAUAAUACUGACUUGCUUCUAUCUCCUUUCACUUGAGAUGGAAGAAUAUCAGUGGCUCACCUCAAGCAAUGCAGUGCAAGCUUUGUUUUCAUCUGAUAUGUCCUUUUUUUCUUGAAAAAAUUGGGCGGCCUCAGCACAGGUAUCUUGAAAUCUAAUCUGCCCAA